UACAGGGGGGGCAAGCGUUGUUCGGAAUUACUGGGCGUAAAGGGCUCGUAGGCGGCCAACUAAGUCACACGUGAAAUCCCCAGGCUUAACCUGGGAACUGCGUGUGAUACUGGAUGGCUUGAAUUCGGGAGAGGGAUGCAGAAUUCCAGGUGUAGCGGUGAAAUGCGUAGAUAUCGGGAGGAACACCAGUGGCGAAGGCGACUACCUGGCCCAUUCUUGACGCUGAGGCGCGAAAGCUAGGGGAGCGAACGGG
rnacentral:rRNA from 1 species